UUUCUUCUUUUUUUUUUGGUUCGCCGGGAUGCCCUUUUUUGCCUGGACUCUUUUAUUCUUUUUGUCCAGCGGGUCUCUCUUUUUUUCACGAAGUAUCUUUUAACUGCGUCCGCAUUCACAGGGAGUGGAAAAUCUUCCUCAUUCGUGGUCAUCAAUCACAAGGUUCUGUCAGAGGAGACCUUUUCGACCACGAAUGGACCUUUAUAACUGUUUAUCCAUUUGCCCCACGAUCGUUGAGGAGGAAGGAUCCUU
rnacentral:lncRNA from 1 species